GACGAACGCUGGCGGCGUGCCUAACACAUGCAAGUCGAACGGAGUUAAGACUUCGGUUUUAACUUAGUGGCGAACGGGUGAGUAACGCGUGAGGAACCUACCUUUCAGUGGGGGACAACAGUUGGAAACGACUGCUAAUACCGCAUAACAUAUACGGAUCGCAUGGUCUAUACAUCAAAGCUUUAUGUGCUGAAAGAUGGCCUCGCGUCUGAUUAGCUAGAUGGCGGGGUAGCGGCCCACCAUGGCGACGAUCAGUAGCCGGUCUGAGAGGAUGAACGGCCACAUUGGGACUGAGAUACGGCCCAG
rnacentral:rRNA from 1 species